GAUGAACGCUAGCUACAGGCUUAACACAUGCAAGUCGAGGGGAAACGAUAUUGGAAGCUUGCUUCCGAUAGGCGUCGACCGGCGCACGGGUGAGUAACGCGUAUCCAACCUGCCCACCACUUGGGGAUAACCUUGCGAAAGUAAGACUAAUACCCAAUGAUAUCUCUAGAAGACAUCUGAAGGAGAUUAAAGAUUUAUCGGUGAUGGAUGGGGAUGCGUCUGAUUAGCUUGUUGGCGGGGUAACGGCCCACCAAGGCGACGAUCAGUAGGGGUUCUGAGGGGAAGGUCCCCCACAUUGGAACUGAGACACGGUCCAAACGCCUACGGGAGGCAGCAGUGAGGAAUAUUGGUCAAUGGACGAGAGUCUGAACCAGCCAAGUAGCGUGCAGGAUGACGGCCCUAUGGGUUGUAAACUGCUUUUAUAAGGGAAUAAAGUGAGCCUCGUGAGGCUUUUUGCAUGUACCUUAUGAAUAAGGACCGGCUAAUUCCGUGCCAGCAGCCGCCGUAA
rnacentral:rRNA from 1 species